AAACUUUCAACAACGGAUCUCUUGGUUCUGGCAUCGAUGAAGAACGCAGCGAAAUGCGAUAAGUAAUGUGAAUUGCAGAAUUCAGUGAAUCAUCGAAUCUUUGAACGCACAUUGCGCCCGCUGGUAUUCCAGCGGGCAUGCCUGUUCGAGCGUCAUU
rnacentral:rRNA from 2 species